GCUGGGGAGGCUCAUUUAAUUUACAGGUACCAAUCGGGAGCGCUGGCAGUAAGGAACAUCGCAGGAUCGCGCCUCCCUCCCAAUUAUCACAGCCUCUACAAAAGACUGACUGCAGCAAACGGAAAUGUGAUUGAGCAGGCCAAAAUUCAAGUAGAAUAGGAGCAGAAAGUGUUAAGGUUUCGGAAAGCUCUCGAGGGAGGCCUCAAUCCUUUGUUCUCGUCCCGGCCGGAAACGAGGACACGAAUGAGUCAAUUCGUUUAAAUUCAAAAAUCAAAAAGUAUUUAAUAACUAAACAACGUUAUAAGGAAUGCCACUACAAAGUGAAAUACUAAGCGAACAGUGGAAUAUUUCGCGAAAUAGAGAAUCCUCUGAGCAAGUCUAAAGUGACUUUUCAAGGCGGCUGCAGGUCAGAUUCUACCAGUCCAUUCCCCCGCCAUGGUCCUUUGAAAACUCUUGAGGUGUGUCUUCCUUGGUGCAUUUGAAUGUCAUUGGCUUCUUCUCCAAAGGGCCACCUCCUGGACUGUCCCCUUCACGUCGAGGUGUGACUAAACAUUAUUACACAUACUAUAAUUUCCUGACUAGGGGUGCACUUCUGGCUUAAAUCCCUAACAAAAGCACGGCAGGAGAAGGUGUCCCUAAAAGGUUGGAAGAGACCAGACGAGUGACGGUCGAGUGGCUAAAUUAGAGGAACCAGCCUUACUCGGAUGAUUCCUCCUUGUUUUUUUAGUAUAUCUUAACUCAUCAUAACUAUAUUAACUUUUAACAGUAUAAUUAGUUAUUUUAUGGGUUUUAGUUUAUAAAUAAAAGCAUCUUUUACUUUUAAAUGUAUGUCAUGGUGAUCCAUGCUGUUCUCCCCCCAGCACAAACAAACCUGUAUUUCUAUGGAGAUCUAGGUGGUGUUGUUGGCAACUUUUAUUUCCUAUUUCUAUAAAAUUUGUAUUUUAAUGAAUUUUAAAUCUCCGCCUCACAAGGCUGAGGCAUAUUUAAAUAGAUAUUUACAUGCAUGAACACAAUAAGUGGAUUAAGCAGGGUUUUUAAAUCUUUUCUUUUUAGGUGCUGUUAAUCCAACAUCAACAAACAAGUCAGGAUUUCACUCAGGAGAGCCUCUGCCCGAAUUUGACAAAUUUAUUACACCAUGUAACAUGAAAUAGUGCACAAUCUUGGCGAUUGGACUCAAUCCUAAACCAGGAUAAUCAAGGAGCCAUGAUGAUGCCCCCCCUCCCCCGAUGUCCAGACAUUGGUGGUGGUGGUGAAGAACGAAGUUGAUGACUGACAACUGUCUGGAGGUGUCUGGUGUGGAGGAGGGUCGCACCGGUUUCAUCGGUUUAGCAACCCAGUGCCGCCUCCGGUUGGUUGGUUGGUUGGUUAUCUACACCUGGAUGCACCCAAUCUCAUCUGAUAGCGUAAUGCUGGGAGACCAGCUGAGGCAUAUAUAACUUACGCGUGGUGUAAAGGCUUCCUGCCAGAACUAGAGCUUAAGCUCCAUAUGUAUCCUGUUGUUUUUUGCCUGAUGGACUAUUUCAUUUGUAUGUGGUGACUGGGUUAUAGCUAUUUAUCUCCCUCAGUAACCAUGGUUUGGUUUUCCAGCUCUGAUCGAACUGAUCCUGCUGCAAUAUGUACACAAUUCUCACACACAUACCACCGCCGUGAGUUGACCUAACUGACCAAUGAAAUAUGAGAACAAGAAUAUGACUGAUUCACUUGUUAACAGAAAUAAUCCACAUUUUAACACGAAUAGCAAAUGUUUUUCAAAUGCUUCCUCAUUUUCAGAGUACUUGUUUUCCCAACCCUAACAUGUUCACAUCCCUUCAAUUCCAAAGAGGAGUCUGAGAUGAAGCCUGAGGGCUGUGACCUGGAAUUUAAAACCAACCAAAACCACAUCUACAAUGUCUGCAACAAUCAAUAUAGUUUCUUUGUUCUUUGUGACAGCACAUUGGCAGUCUCAACCAGCUGGCUUUACAUAAACAUGGUCUCUACCGUCUGAGAACAAAGAUGAUGCUUGCUGGGAUAGAAAGCACAGGGCUAUGUGGGAGUGACCCCUGAGGCAAGAAGCAACAAUUGUUCUAUAUAAUGCUGCAGUUUACAGAUUUGUAGCUAAAUGCAACUGGAUGGUUGACCUAGAUGCAACUGAAAACUACUCUAAUCUUCAUGAAAUAAAUUAAGGUGAGAUGGAGAUUUAAUGGUUCUGAACAUGAUAUAAUCAGGAGAAUAAGCAAAGAUAUUAAUACAAAUGUAAAACACUCCGUUAAACUAUGAGGCUGAUUCCCCAGAGAAAGAAAGCCAGUAUAAAAGACGCAAAACUGCUGUCCGUCCAUAAUGAAAAAAGUAAGGAAAAAAACAGCUUUGUAAUGUUCCAGACACAGUCAACUUCUUAAUUUGGCUUCUGUGAGGACACCCUGGUUCAUGAAGGUACACGGCUGAGUUAUAACAACGACAAAUGCUGGUUUACAGCGGAACACUGCAGAAGGAUCAGGCAUUUAGGAGCGGGGACAAAGACUUGUACACAGUUAAAAUACAAGUUUAGCAAGGCGGUGAGAGAUGCUAAACGUCUGUACUCUGAGAAACUCCAACAACAGUUCUCAGCAAGUGACUCUGCUUCGGUUUGGAGAGGCCUCAAACACCUCACCAACUACAAGCCCCAAACCCCCCACUCCAUGAAUGACCUCCGCCUGGCAGACGAGCUGAAUGAGUUCUACGGCAGAUUUGAUAGACAAUGUCCUGACUCCAUCCCCCACAGCUCCACCAGCCUGCCCCAGUCCCUCCCAAGCUCAUCAGGGGCUCACGCCUCUGUAUCACCCUCCCCCACAACGACGCUCUCUAUUCUGGAGAGAGACGGUAACUUUUAAAGGCAACUCCGUUUCCCCUCACACCCUGAAGCAUUGUGCUGACCAGCUGUCUCUGGUGUUCACUGACAUCUUCAACACCUCCCUGGAGACAUGCCACGUACCAGCCUGCUUCAAGGCCUCCACCAAAGCUUCCUACCUUUCACCAUAGCUUCUCUGUUCCCAAGAAGCCCAGGAUCACAGGACUCAAUGACUACAGGCCCGUCGGCCUGACUUCAUGACCUGUAGUCAUGAAGUCGUCAUAAUCUGACUGAACAUGCACUUCACUUAGUCUGUGCCUUCUGCAGCCUCUCUCCCUCUCCGUUCCAGCUUGUUACAUGCGUAGCGUCGCUUCAAUGUAAACGUCUUUAUUUCCAUUUUUAAUUGGCUAGGUUAAGGCCACAAAAGUAGAUAAGAUCAUGAUUUAGUUGGAAAUGUGUAUGUAUGGCACAUAAAAUAAUUAUGCUUGUUGCUCAGCUGACAUGUGCAGCAUUAUUUAAGUAGAUAAAUGACUAAGUAACUAAGUUGGAAUAAGUCAGGUUUCACACAGGCCAUGACCUGCUGUUUGUUUGACCCUACCAUUGACUCCUCCCACUUAUCCUAUGCAACUUUCUGACUCGGAUCAUCUAAUACUGACCCUGAGGGUCUACACUGGAGCAGUGUUCAUUUUGGCAGCUAUUUUGGAUUUAGUCUUAGUCUUUAGACGAAAAAUGCAUAUUAGUUUUAGUCACAUUUAGUCAUUUUAAUCCUUCUUAGUUUUAAUCUAGUUUUCGUCGACGAAAAAUAGACUAGUUUUAGUCACAUUAAAUAGCCAUAUUAAACUCCUUUUCUUCCCUUCUCAGGCCCAGGGACCCCCUGUGUUGUGUCUACAGCUGCAUAAUAGUCUAUCUUGCAGUACUUGGUUGUCCAUCAGAUGUCCCUCCUAGGACAGGCCUAUAGAUGUCCCUCCUAUAGGACAGACCUAUAGAUGUCCCUCCUAGGACAGGUCUAUAGCAGGUCGGCAGACUUUGACUCGUGGGCCACAAUGGGUUGUAAAAUGUGACGGAGGAGCCGGGCCAAGAACAAAUGGUGUAAGUGUUUGUGUGAGUUGAUAUAAACGACAUGUGAAACAUCAUUACAUGAAAGGAUUUGGAUUUUAACAAAUAGCAAAGCAUUUAUUUGCAAGGCAAUUUAACAAAUUGGCAAAGGUGUAACAACUUCAUGAGGACCAGGGACCUAAACGCAACACUUUGUUGCCUUUGUCGUUUACUUGCAAUGCUUUUGACAUGGCCACCUGUCACGUGUGUGCGCCUCUAUGUUGCUUAGUAACGAGCGUACGGUGGCCGAGACGGUUUAACAGUCUUCUCACGAUGUGGCGUGUGAACUAUAGUUGAAAUGCGUGAGGCUUCAGAACCUGCAAUGAGUUUAUUACGUUAGACGCGUUUGUGACGGAGCGUCUCAUCCAGCGAGGAAACGCUGCCUGCCGUCGCCAGAACAGAGCAGAAGGGUCCGACGGUCUUUAAACGGGUCUUCAUGUUUCUGUGAAGCAGCGCGGCUUCAGCCUGCUAACAGUCAGCUAACCAGAGACAGCUGAGCUAAACUAACGAAGCCACGUUCAAACUCGCCGAAGCGUAAAAUAGUCGUUGCGGUCCGUAGUCGGUGCACAAGAACCACCGC
ensembl:lncRNA